GCUGGGUGUGGUGGUGUAUACCUGUUAAUCCCAGCAACUUGGGAGGCUGAGGCAGGAGGAUCUCAAGUUCAAAGCCAGCCUUAGCAAAUUAGCAAGGCCCUAAGUAACUCAGAGAGAACUUGCCUCAA
rnacentral:sRNA from 1 species